rnacentral:lncRNA from 1 species
AACCAUCGCCUCGGAGCCCGAGAGAUGCACGCGCUGCGCACCGCCCGUAGGCCGGGGUACCCAGCGCCGCCCAGGGUCUGCAGCUCCACCCUCCGCAGGCCGCAGAGCCGAUGGAGAGGGCGUCCCAGGGGAGGCAGGGGGCGCGACCGGCGGCGGCUCGCGAGGCCGCUGGAAGGCCAGGCUCCUCGCGGAGGCGCGGGCCCCGCGCGCCGGGCACGCACAGGCACCACCCGGUCCGCCCCGACCGCGGAAGCGUAGCACCUAAACGGCGCGGCCUACGCUGCCCUGCGCGCAGCGUCCGGGCCUCACCUGCUUCAGCCGGGAGACCAGUACCGUCUUGACCCCGUUGAUGUCCAAGUUGCGGCGCUUCAGCUCGGACCUGAGGUCGAUAACCCGCAGCUCCGUGAUCUUCUUCCCUUCCGCCGGCCCAGAGGCGGCCGAGGCUACCACGGCCCCGGCAGCGGCAGCCAUUUUGGGAAAGCAACGCGCUGCCGAGGCAGCUAGUGGGCUGCAGGGCGGCGGCGGCGGCGGAGGAGGAGGCAGCGGCGGUGGAGGCGGUGGCCGCGGCAGCACCAACUUCCAACCCGGGCCCCGGGCGGCCAGCGGCGCCGCGCUACGCUGCGCACAAUGAGCCACUGACCACGCCCCCCCACGGGGACCACGCCCCCGACUCUGCUCCAGCGCAACCUGCAGCGGCACCCGGAUGACGGGUGCGCGUGCGCACUGAGCAGGCAUGGAGGGGGCGGAGCUCGCAGCGGACCGGUGGCUCGGCCUCUGGCGUGGUCCCGGGAAAGUCUCCGCGUGUCCAACCGCUCAGCUGUCCUCGGUACCACGGUUCCCGCCUCUCCAUUAGCCUCCUUCUCCUCUCAUCUCUUACCUAGAGCCAUCGCCACUUGAGAGGCACCCCAUAGUAGGGAGAGUAGGUGCGUCUCUUCACCGAAAUGAGGGGGCGUGUGCGCCAGCCUUCCCGGAAGAAGUACGGAAUCAUCGUGGAAAGGUGGUCGGGGUAUACUAGUGAACUUAGGUCGGCGGGUUCCGCCCCGGAACGCCCAGCGAAACCUGAGGCCGAGAGCCCAGGGGACAGUGUCACGCUGUGACCCCCUGAAGCUUAGCCCCUCUUUGCCUGAAAACUACCAGGCAAACGUCCUCUCCUCGUUUGCCUCAGCUUGCCCAUCCCCUCCGACGGGCCUGAUGGCUCAAUGAAAUUGUUCACAAAAGGAGAAUAACUUAAAAGUAUAUGUUGCCCUGAUCCUAUACAGUAUCCUCUGCCCUGCGCCGCCAGCAUUUGGUAUGUCAAGGACAGGGGCCACUUUAUGGAGAAAUAGCCCGCAUAGUAUCUCUUAGUAAUUUUAAUAUUAUUAAUCAUCACAGCGUAAAUAUCUAUAGAAUUAACACAAAGUUGGACAAAGUUAGGAAACACAGGGAACUGAAUUAACAUUUACUGGUGGGUGAUGUUUUGUAAAGGCAAGGGUAUGUUUUGUAGAGCGAGGUAUAGAGCGGUGGGAGGGACUGCCUCAUCCGGCUGAUGCUGAGGCAUCCCCACCCCAGGUACCAUCCAUAAGACUGGUCUAGUAUAGAAUAGAGUUUAUUUGGGGGUAUGGCAAGGGGAGCUGAGAAGGGAGUAGAGGCAGAGAAAGGGAGAAGACAGAAGAGAAGAGCCCGGCCAAGAACACGUGGAGGGGGGAGGGGAGAGGAAGAAAGGAGUCAAAGGGGGGGGGGGGACAUUCCCAUCCAGGCCUACCUGGCUGUUGCUAGGUAAGUGUUGGGCGGAGCCUAGAAGGAAUGCUAAGGUGCUAACAAAGGUGGGGUUGAGGUUGUUUUGUUUUACAUCUUUCUCCAGUUUCCUGGUUAUAAAACUUAAAUUGGACUGGGCAGUGGUGGGACAUGCCUAUCAGCACUAAGGGGAGAGAGGCUUGUGGAUCUCUGAGAUACACUACACUCCAGCCUGGUAUCUGCAGAGUGACCCAGGACAGCCAGGGCUACACAGAGAAAUCCUACCUUUAUAAAUAAAUAAAUAAAUAAAUAAAUAAAUGUGAGGUGUGCCUUACUUUGGGUUGCUACACACAGAGGAAUCCUACCUUUAUAAAUAAAUAAAUAAAUAAAUAAAUAA